ACGCUGGCGGCAGGCCUAACACAUGCAAGUCGAGCGGUAGAGAGAAGCUUGCUUCUCUUGAGAGCGGCGGACGGGUGAGUAAUGCCUAGGAAUCUGCCCGGUAGUGGGGGAUAACGUUCGGAAACGGACGCUAAUACCGCAUACGUCCUACGGGAGAAAGCAGGGGACCUUCGGGCCUUGCGCUAUCAGAUGAGCCUAGGUCGGAUUAGCUAGUUGGUGGGGUAAUGGCUCACCAAGGCGACGAUCCGUAACUGGUCUGAGAGGAUGAUCAGUCACACUGGAACUGAGACACGGUCCAGACUCCUACGGGAGGCAGCAGUGGGGAAUAUUGGACAAUGGGCGAAAGCCUGAUCCAGCCAUGCCGCGUGUGUGAAGAAGGUCUUCGGAUUGUAAAGCACUUUAAGUUGGGAGGAAGGGCAGUUACCUAAUACGUGAUUGUUUUGACGUUACCGACAGAAUAAGCACCGGCUAACUCUGUGCCAGCAGCCGCGGUAAUACAGAGGGUGCAAGCGUUAAUCGGAAUUACUGGGCGUAAAGCGCGCGUAGGUGGUUUGUUAAGUUGGAUGUGAAAUCCCCGGGCUCAACCUGGGAACUGCAUUCAAAACUGACUGACUAGAGUAUGGUAGAGGGUGGUGGAAUUUCCUGUGUAGCGGUGAAAUGCGUAGAUAUAGGAAGGAACACCAGUGGCGAAGGCGACCACCUGGACUGAUACUGACACUGAGGUGCGAAAGCGUGGGGAGCAAAC
rnacentral:rRNA from 1 species